rnacentral:rRNA from 1 species
GACGAACGCUGGCGGCGUGCUUAACACAUGCAAGUCGAACGGAAAGGCCCCUUUGGGGGUACUCGAGUGGCGAACGGGUGAGUAACACGUGAGUAACCUGCCCUUGACUUCGGGAUAACUUCAGGAAACUGGGGCUAAUACCGGAUAGGAAUCCUUGCUGCAUGGUGGGGGUUGGAAAGCUUCGGCGGUUUUGGAUGGACUCGCGGCUUAUCAGCUUGUUGGUGGGGUAGUGGCUUACCAAGGCUUUGACGGGUAGCCGGCCUGAGAGGGCGACCGGCCACAUUGGGACUGGGAUACGGCCCAGACUCCUACGGGAGGCAGCAGUGGGGAAUAUUGCACAAUGGGCGGAAGCAUGAUGCAGCAACGCCGCGUGCGGGAUGACGGCCUUCGGGUUGUAAACCGCUUUCAGCAGGGGCGAAGCUUGUGGUGACGGUACCUGCAGAAGAAGCACCGGCUAACUACGUG